UGAUGCUUCCAAGUGAGUGCCACCUGCCCCAGCCCUGAUCUUCGCAUCCUUUGAUCUUCUGAUCUCUGGCCAGGGUCCCCCAGCCAAAGGCAUUCCUGUCUCCCAGGCCUCCUCCAAGGAAGAGCAAAGGGCUGGGCUCCUUCCCCUUCCUCCAAGCUCCUCCCUCCUCCCUGUGGGGUGUGUGUGUGUGUGUGUGUGUGUGUAAUCAGGACUACCACAGAAGCUCUGGGACAAGGUAAUAGCCAGGUUCCCUCUGAGGUGGUGAUAUCGGGGAGAGGGGACAUGGAGAAGGGCUGGCCACCGGCAUGCCAUGGGCAAGGUGCCCUGGGCUGGACCGGACUCUGCUGGAAAGAUGCCUUCAGCCUAAGUUCCUUGUUCCUAGUGCCCUUGUGUGCAAAGCCUCGCUGAGCACGGAGGAGGCAUAUGUGUGCCCGUGUGUGCAGACAGGGAGGACACCGCAACCUGAGGAGAGUUGCAGGACCACAGACACAGCUGGACAGAGCCUUGGACGUUAGUGCUGGAAGAAUCUCAAGUGCCUGAGGAUCAGGAGAAAGCCUGGCCUGUGGUGGCCAGCAGGGACAGGAAACUCAUCCUGACCCUGAAGACCCCACCGCGGGAUCUGUGACCCAGCACUUGCACUCCUGGGUGUAUAACCAACAGAAACCAUCCAUAUGCUCACCGAUGCCUGGACAAAACCACCGUGGCCGCGCUAUCCCUAAUGCCCCCACACUGGGAAGCGUCAGGCUCCCAUCAGCAGUAGAAUGGAUGGACCGUGCUGCGUUCUCCCAAAGCAAAUACAUGCGGCAGGAUCAGCGACUGCCAGCCCAACAGGAAGCAGGCCUGAAGAGACCAGAGGACUUGUCCAAAGGCACUCAGCAAGUUGGCAGCUGUGACAGAAUUUUAGCCCAGGGUCUCCUGACUUCAACUCCACCAAACAGAGAGCAGACCUACAGCGACAGCCGCUGUGGCUUGUAGGUGGAGAACUGUUAAUACCAUAUGGGUGCGGAGCACAGCUGUCCUGCCAGGGAGCACACACUCCAUAAACGUCUGUCAGUUGAAUAAAUGAAUAAUAAUAGUUCACACCCAUUGAGGUUACUAUGCGUCAGACACCGUUCUAAGCACUUCCCAUUUAUUAACUCAUUCAACCCCCCCAAGAGCCCUAGGAGGUGGGUAUCAUUAACAU